UUUCUUUUUCCUUUUGACUUGUUUUGUGUUUCAGAAUUUUAUUUCAGGAGCCUUUUUGAGGAUGAUGAGUGCUUCUCAGGAGACGUCAUCUAAGAUGACACUUGGAGAAUAUAUGCGUAGAAGUUAACAUUCUCUGGAGACGUCAUCUGAGAUGAAGCUUGGUGAGUAUAUGCAUGGGUAAGGGUGCACAGGAACCGAGCCGAAAAACCUGACUGUGCCGGAACCGGUGGAAUUGUACAUGGUUUUGUGCCGAACCGAGGAAGGGGGUACAGGUUCCGGUUCUAAAUCUGAGAACCGGCCUCUAGGAGGUACAGCUCCUCUCUAUUUGAGAAGGAACACGAACACCCGUUACAGGGAAGAGUUUUCUUCUCUUCAAGACUUCAACUUAACGAACACCAGUUACACCACCUCUCGUGUCUUUUUGCAGAAGCAGCAAACCAGAAGAAGAAGAAAUUUCUCUUCAAUUAAGAUUUGGUGCUGCAAUUAAAGCUCCUCGUAUUACAUCUAAGAAUAUCAUUAGAGUUACUGGGUCCUAUCAAAAAUAAUGCCACCACCAGUGCUGCCAUGGAAUAGAUCUCCACAACCAUUUCACCACCACUGCUACCACUUCAAUUCUUCUUUUCUUCAGUGUAGUGUGUAGUACUGCAGCUAUUAGUUGUUAAGACAAUCACACUUAAGAGUUAAGACUAUUGUAGUAUUGUUUGUGUGUGUGUGUGUGUGUGUGUCUGUGUGUUUCUCCUGCUGCCUGUAGUGUACUGCAGUCUGCAGCUUUGCUACUUGUUAUUUUUUCAGAUUUUCAAGACUUUGGCACUUUGCUUUGCUAGUAUUA